GCCUGGCUAGCUCAGUCGGUAGAGCAUGAGAAUCUUAAUCUCAGGGUCAUGGGUUCAAGCCCCAUGUCGGGCG
rnacentral:tRNA from 1 species